rnacentral:rRNA from 1 species
GGGUUGUGAGGUUAAGCGACUAAGCGUACACGGUGGAUGCCCUGGCAGUCAGAGGCGAUGAAGGACGUGCUAAUCUGCGAUAAGCGUCGGUGAGGUGAUAUGAACCGUUAUAACCGGCGAUUUCCGAAUGGGGAAACCCAGUGUGUUUCGACACACUAUCAUUAACUGAAUCCAUAGGUUAAUGAGGCGAACCGGGGGAACUGAAACAUCUAAGUACCCCGAGGAAAAGAAAUCAACCGAGAUUCCCCCAGUAGCGGCGAGCGAACGGGGAGGAGCCCAGAGCCUGAAUCAGUGUGUGUGUUAGUGGAAGCGUCUGGAAAGGCGUGCGAUACAGGGUGACAGCCCCGUACACAAAAAUGCACAUAUUGUGAGCUCGAUGAGUAGGGCGGGACACGUGGUAUCCUGUCUGAAUAUGGGGGGACCAUCCUCCAAGGCUAAAUACUCCUGACUGACCGAUAGUGAACCAGUACCGUGAGGGAAAGGCGAAAAGAACCCCGGCGAGGGGAGUGAAAAAGAACCUGAAACCGUGUACGUACAAGCAGUGGGAGCCUCUUAAUGGGGUGACUGCGUACCUUUUGUAUAAUGGGUCAGCGACUUAUAUUCUGUAGCAAGGUUAACCGAAUAGGGGAGCCGAAGGGAAACCGAGUCUUAACUGGGCGUUAAGUUGCAGGGUAUAGACCCGAAACCCGGUGAUCUAGCCAUGGGCAGGUUGAAGGUUGGGUAACACUAACUGGAGGACCGAACCGACUAAUGUUGAAAAAUUAGCGGAUGACUUGUGGCUGGGGGUGAAAGGCCAAUCAAACCGGGAGAUAGCUGGUUCUCCCCGAAAGCUAUUUAGGUAGCGCCUCGUGAAUUCAUCUCCGGGGGUAGAGCACUGUUUCGGCAAGGGGGUCAUCCCGACUUACCAACCCGAUGCAAACUGCGAAUACCGGAGAAUGUUAUCACGGGAGACACACGGCGGGUGCUAACGUCCGUCGUGAAGAGGGAAACAACCCAGACCGCCAGCUAAGGUCCCAAAGUCAUGGUUAAGUGGGAAACGAUGUGGGAAGGCCCAGACAGCCAGGAUGUUGGCUUAGAAGCAGCCAUCAUUUAAAGAAAGCGUAAUAGCUCACUGGUCGAGUCGGCCUGCGCGGAAGAUGUAACGGGGCUAAACCAUGCACCGAAGCUGCGGCAGCGACACUAUGUGUUGUUGGGUAGGGGAGCGUUCUGUAAGCCUGUGAAGGUGGCCUGUGAGGGUUGCUGGAGGUAUCAGAAGUGCGAAUGCUGACAUAAGUAACGAUAAAGCGGGUGAAAAGCCCGCUCGCCGGAAGACCAAGGGUUCCUGUCCAACGUUAAUCGGGGCAGGGUGAGUCGACCCCUAAGGCGAGGCCGAAAGGCGUAGUCGAUGGGAAACAGGUUAAUAUUCCUGUACUUGGUGUUACUGCGAAGGGGGGACGGAGAAGGCUAUGUUGGCCGGGCGACGGUUGUCCCGGUUUAAGCGUGUAGGCUGGUUUUCCAGGCAAAUCCGGAAAACCAAGGCUGAGGCGUGAUGACGAGGCACUACGGUGCUGAAGNNNNNNNNNNNNNNNNNNNNNNNNNNNNNNNNNNNNNNNNNNNNNNNNNNNNNNNNNNNNNNNNNNNNNNNNNNNNNNNNNNNNNNNNNNNNNNNNNNNNNNNNNNNNNNNNNNNNNNNNNNNNNNNNNGCUCGUGGAGCUGAAAUCAGUCGAAGAUACCAGCUGGCUGCAACUGUUUAUUAAAAACACAGCACUGUGCAAACACGAAAGUGGACGUAUACGGUGUGACGCCUGCCCGGUGCCGGAAGGUUAAUUGAUGGGGUUAGCGGUAACGCGAAGCUCUUGAUCGAAGCCCCGGUAAACGGCGGCCGUAACUAUAACGGUCCUAAGGUAGCGAAAUUCCUUGUCGGGUAAGUUCCGACCUGCACGAAUGGCGUAAUGAUGGCCAGGCUGUCUCCACCCGAGACUCAGUGAAAUUGAACUCGCUGUGAAGAUGCAGUGUACCCGCGGCAAGACGGAAAGACCCCGUGAACCUUUACUAUAGCUUGACACUGAACAUUGAGCCUUGAUGUGUAGGAUAGGUGGGAGGCUUUGAAGUGUGGACGCCAGUCUGCAUGGAGCCGACCUUGAAAUACCACCCUUUAAUGUUUGAUGUUCUAACGUUGGCCCGUAAUCCGGGUUGCGGACAGUGUCUGGUGGGUAGUUUGACUGGGGCGGUCUCCUCCUAAAGAGUAACGGAGGAGCACGAAGGUUGGCUAAUCCUGGUCGGACAUCAGGAGGUUAGUGCAAUGGCAUAAGCCAGCUUGACUGCGAGCGUGACGGCGCGAGCAGGUGCGAAAGCAGGUCAUAGUGAUCCGGUGGUUCUGAAUGGAAGGGCCAUCGCUCAACGGAUAAAAGGUACUCCGGGGAUAACAGGCUGAUACCGCCCAAGAGUUCAUAUCGACGGCGGUGUUUGGCACCUCGAUGUCGGCUCAUCACAUCCUGGGGCUGAAGUAGGUCCCAAGGGUAUGGCUGUUCGCCAUUUAAAGUGGUACGCGAGCUGGGUUUAGAACGUCGUGAGACAGUUCGGUCCCUAUCUGCCGUGGGCGCUGGAGAACUGAGGGGGGCUGCUCCUAGUACGAGAGGACCGGAGUGGACGCAUCACUGGUGUUCGGGUUGUCAUGCCAAUGGCACUGCCCGGUAGCUAAAUGCGGAAGAGAUAAGUGCUGAAAGCAUCUAAGCACGAAACUUGCCCCGAGAUGAGUUCUCCCUGACUCCUUGAG